UGAUUUGCAGACCUUGGAUAUGUGCCCUGUCUGCUUACAGUUGCCGCAUAUAGCAUCGACCCUCCACCAACAGUACUUCUCCAGAUGUGUAGUUCUUUUACAAUGUUUGCACGGAGGAAACUUCUGCUUCACAUCUCCACUAUUAUUUCCUCCAUCAUGCUUGCCCUUAUUCUUUUGAUUGACUUGUUGCUUUCCUUUACCAAAUAUUUGUUUUUGUACAGAGAAAGCUCCUUCAGUGAACUUGUCC
rnacentral:lncRNA from 1 species